rnacentral:rRNA from 1 species
GACGAACGCUGGCGGCGUGCUUAACACAUGCAAGUCGAGCGGGGUCCAUCUUGUCGCAAGACAAGGGAAGACCUAGCGGCGAACGGGUGAGUAACACGUGAGCAACCUGCCCCGAAGACUGGGAUAACACCGGGAAACCGGUGCUAAUACCGGAUACCCUCAAUGAGUCGCAUGGCUCGAUGAGGAAAUGGAUUCCGCUUCGGGAGGGGCUCGCGGCCUAUCAGCUUGUUGGNGGGGUAACGGCCUACCAAGGCUCCGACGGGUAGCUGGUCUGAGAGGACGACCAGCCACACUGGGACUGAGACACGGCCCAGACUCCUACGGGAGGCAGCAGUGGGGAAUCUUGCGCAAUGGGCGCAAGCCUGACGCAGCAACGCCGCGUGGGGGACGAAGGCCUC